rfam:Zootermopsis nevadensis contig12373, whole genome shotgun sequence.
GCCACGGUGGUCUAGCGGUUAGAACGCUGGCCUUGUAAUCCUGGGGUCUCGGGUUCGAUUCCCGGCGGUGCCU